AUGAUGAUUAUUCCCCACCUUCUAAGAGACAAAGACCAACGAGCCACCACAGCCACCAGUCCCAGAACCCGCCAAUGCUGGGGAACGGAAAAUGAGGGAGUUCAACUCUGAGAAAUGGAAUCAUCGUAUCGCUGAUCUACGUAAACAAACUGAAGAAUUGUCUGAAAGAAAAUAUGACAUGAACUUAUGAAUUCAACAGGUGAAGAUUUACAACUUGAUAAAUCAACUUUGUCAGCUCGAGCUGUAAAAGCCAAAGGUCCGGUGAUGAUCCCAUACCCUUUUUUCCAGUCUCAUGUUGAAGAUUUUUAUGUAGAAGGCCUUCCCAAAGGAAGGCUUUCUACUAAUGGAAUUCCUGGCCUUGAGAGGAUGUUACUUUAGAAGGAAAGGAUUUUUUUGUUAUUAAAA
rnacentral:lncRNA from 1 species